rnacentral:rRNA from 1 species
CGGACGGGUGAGUAAUGUCUGGGAAACUGCCUGAUGGAGGGGGAUAACUACUGGAAACGGUAGCUAAUACCGCAUAACGUCGCAAGACCAAAGAGGGGACCUUCGGGCCUCUUGCCAUCAGAUGUGCCCAGAUGGGAUUAGCUUGUUGGUGGGGUAACGGCUCACCAAGGCGACGAUCCCCAGCUGGUCUGAGAGGAUGACCAGCCACACUGGAACUGAGACACGGUCCAG